GUUUCCACUAAUUCCUUCCUUUUACACAGGGGGAAGAUGAGGCCCAGAAAGGAGUCCUUUGGGCACACCUGAGCGUAUGCUAGGCUGGGGAUCCUUCAUAGCUUCGUGAUGGAGCUGGUCACGUGGAAGACAGAGUGAUCAGAAGAUUGGAAUUUUCAGUCCUGUCCGUUAAUCCCUGGAAAGGAGUCCUCACAGCUUAUUUACAUGGAUCUGUCAAAGUUGGCAGAAAAUGUCUUCUAGGACUUCAAGAUAGAUGAUGACGACAUGGGGAAAGAAACCUCGGCAAUACUGUGGUGAAAAAC